rnacentral:rRNA from 1 species
UACAUGGGGUGCAAACGUUGCUCGGAAUUAUUGGGCGUAAAGCGCGCGUAGGCGGUUACUUAAGUCGGAUGUGAAAGCCCUCGGCUUAACUGAGGAAGUGCACCCGAAACUGAGUAGCUAGAGUACGAAAGAGGGUCGCGGAAUUCCCGGUGUAGAGGUGAAAUUCGUAGAUAUCGGGAGGAACACCGGUGGCGAAGGCGGCUCACUGGCUCGUAUCUGACGCUCAGGCGCGACAGCGUGGGGAUCAAACAGG